CUCAUCACCGUCAGGGCCUGGCACCUUACACAGAUGGAACUGGAAUGGAAUUUGUUAAUUAAGAUCAGGAAAGAAUAAUUAAUUACUGUGCCUAUGGAUGUAGACAAAGCAGCAAGUGUAUCACAAUUAUAUUUCGCAUUAAUUACUCUCAAAGCCUUUUUCACAACUUGCCAAUCGCCUUCUAAGGUUAAUGCGCCUGUUGACUCACGUUGAACACUGUAAUUUUUUCCCUCGUGUACCUUCGAUGCAAGUUAAUUCGUCAGAGGGUUUCAGUCUACCGCUGCAUAAUCUGAUGAAAGUUGUCAUUAAAACACAGCUUUCUGCUCCCCAUGUGUGAGAUAUGGCAUCCAUGAUAGGAGGUGAAUGCGAGGAUAACGUCCUAAUGUUCAGAGGUCAAGCAGCACACAUGCUGCAGAGAAAUGAAUCAUUGCUCUGUGACUGUGGUUAAUAUCAACCCAAGCUUCCUGGUGCCAGUAGUCAUUUUUCUUCAGAGGUGAAUGAGGAUGGCACGUUUCCUUUUAACUUCCCCCAAAACAAAUGCCCCCCUGGGUCACAAGGGGGACGGUGAAAGGUCUGACAUUUUAUUUGAUGGCACACUAUUCUCUACGCCCACGCUCCCCGAAGAAUAUAAAGACAUCACUGGAAAAUGUCAGGAACCUGUACUCAGCACCUCUUUAUCAAAGACACUUCCCAGGUGGCCUCCAAUUGCACUGCCGCAUUCGACGGGCAUUGGGAUUGCUGGUUCAGUGGAAGGAUUGAAGUCAGCGGAAUCAAUUCUCGGCACUCUGAUUUCCCAUGACGGAGGGGACUGAGGUGACAGUGUGGGGGCGGGGUGGUGGGAUGGGGGGCAGUAACGUUACAGAAAGGGUGUAGUUCAGUGGCCCUUUAAUCCAUUUACUAGUUCAGAAAAUCUCAGAAGUGGAAGGUGAAACUAGUUUCCCCCAGACACUCUCAGUACUGGAAAGUGAAACUAGCUUCUUCCAGACACUAUGGGAAUUGGAAGAUAAAACCAGUUUCCUCCAGACACACUCAGAACUGGAAGGUGAAACUAGUUUCCUUUGGACACUCGGAACUGGAAGGUGAAACUAGUUUCUUCUAGGCUUUCUCAGAACUGGAAGGUGAAAUGAGUUUACUCCAGAAAAUCUAUGAACUGGAAGGUGAAACUAGCUUCUUCCAGACACUCUCAGAACUGGAAGGUGACGCGAGAUUCAUCCAGGCACUCAGAACUAGAAGAUGAAGCUAGUUUCCUCCAGACAAUCUCAGAAUUGGAAGCUAAAUCAGCAUGUGUGUGCGUACAAACCUUAUCAGAAUGUAGCUAUAGUAAAAAGCCGUAGUGCUCUUGUUUUAAACUUCGUCCUGUCUUUUUUGCCUUUUGUUCAUUCAUAAUUUUGUUAGUCAACUGUUCAUUCAUAAUGUUAAUAAUCAAAUGUUGUUUUUGUGCUCACUGGUGUUGUAUUACAAACCUUUUUCCCAACGCUGAUGCAGUGCACAUUUCAAACUUGUACAAAAAAUAAAAGCUUUCCAUUA